rnacentral:rRNA from 1 species
UACGAAGGGGACUAGCGUUGUUCGGAAUCACUGGGCGUAAAGCGCACGUAGGCGGAUUUGUAAGUCAGGGGUGAAAUCCCGGGGCUCAACCUCGGAACUGCCUUUGAUACAGCACAUCUGGAGUCCGGAAGAGGUGGGUGGAAUUCCUAGUGUAGAGGUGAAAUUCGUAGAUAUUAGGAAGAACACCGGUGGCGAAGGCGGCCCACUGGUCCGGUACUGACGCUGAGGUGCGAAAGCGUGGGGAGCAAACAGG